rnacentral:rRNA from 1 species
AUGCGAGAUGCUGGACACGAUGCGGGAGCAGGCAUCUUGAAUUGGACCGAGAUCCAGUGCGUCGACCUCACACAGUCUCUCCGGGAAGGAGUUCGCAGCUCGCGUAGGUGUUCGGUUGCUGAAGGCACCUUCACCACAUUGUCAUUCAUUUGUGAGAUGUUUCUGUUUCUCUAUGUUGGCAUGGAUGCAUUGGAUAUAGAGAUUUGGAAGAUUGUUAGCGGAACACAUAUACAGGCAACUGCGGGGACUACCAACAGGCGGCGUACCUGCUACGUGUUGGUGAUGAGCAAGCUAGCCAAGGGGCAGCAUAGUGAAUCGAUGAAGAAGCUGGAAUCCUAA